rnacentral:piRNA from 1 species
UAAACUGCUGGGAAUACUGCAGGCAGCUGGC